rnacentral:rRNA from 1 species
UACGUAGGGUGCUAGCGUUGUUCGGAAUCAUUGGGCGUAAAGCGCGUGUAGGCGGUUAGUAAAGUUGGGUGUGAAAUCCCUGGGCUCAACCGAGGAAGUGCAUCCAAAACUAACUAGCUAGAGAGUGGUAGAGGGAGGUGGAAUUCCGUGUGUAGAGGUGAAAUUCGUAGAUAUACGGAGGAAUACCGGUGGCGAAGGCGGCCUCCUGGACCAUUUCUGACGCUGAGACGCGAAAGCGUGGGGAG